UCCAGGGUAGCCUAGUGGACAUGGCAUCUGCCCGGUAAGCGGAACACUGUGGGUUCGAUUUGUAUCCCUGGAA